rnacentral:rRNA from 1 species
UACGUAGGGUGCAAGCGUUAUCCGGAAUUAUUGGGCGUAAAGAGCUCGUAGGCGGUUUGUCGCGUCUGCUGUGAAAACUGGGGGCUCAACCCCCAGCCUGCAGUGGGUACGGGCAGACUAGAGUGCGGUAGGGGAGACUGGAAUUCCUGGUGUAGCGGUGGAAUGCGCAGAUAUCAGGAGGAACACCGAUGGCGAAGGCAGGUCUCUGGGCCACUACUGACGCUGAGAAGCGAAAGCAUGGGGAGCGAACAGG